ACGGAAGGCAGCAGUGGGGGAUAUUGCACAAUGGGGGAAACCCUGAUGCAGCGACGCCGCGUGAGUGAUGAAGUAUUUCGGUAUGUAAAGCUCUAUCAGCAGGAAAGAUAAUGACGGUACCUGACUAAGAAGCACCGGCUAAAUACGUGCCAGCAGCCGCGGUAAUACGUAUGGUGCAAGCGUUAUCCGGAUUUACUGGGUGUAAAGGGAGCGUAGACGGGACAGCAAGUCUGAUGUGAAAUGCGGGGGCUCAACCCCUGAACUGCAUUGGAAACUGUUGACCUUGAGUGCCGGAGAGGUAAGCGGAAUUCCUAGUGUAGCGGUGAAAUGCGUAGAUAUUAGGAGGAACACCAGUGGCGAAGGCGGCUUACUGGACGGUAACUGACGUUGAGGCUCGAAAGCGUGGGGAGCAAACAGGAUUAGAUACCCUGGUA
rnacentral:rRNA from 1 species